rnacentral:rRNA from 1 species
AAUAGAUACCCGGGUAGUCCACGCCGUAAACGAUGAGUGCUAAGUGUUAGAGGGUUUCCGCCCUUUAGUGCUGCAGCUAACGCAUUAAAGCACUCCGCCUGGGGAGUACGGUCGCAAGACUGAAACUCAAAGGAAUUGACGGGGGGCCCGCACAAGCGGUGGAGCAUGUGGUUUAAUUCGAAGCAACGCGAAGAACCUUACCAGGUCUUGACAUCCUCUGACAACUCUAGAGAUAGAGCGUUCCCCUUCGGGGGACAGAGUGACAGGUGGUGCAUGGUUGUCGUCAGCUCGUGUCGUGAGAUGUUGGGUUAAGUCCCGCAACGAGCGCAACCCUUGAUCUUAGUUGCCAUCAUUAAGUUGGGCACUCUAAGGUGACUGCCGGUGACAAACCGGAGGAAGGUGGGGAUGACGUCAAAUCAUCAUGCCCCUUAUGACCUGGGCUACACACGUGCUACAAUGGACGGUACAAAGAGCUGCAAGACCGCGAGGUGGAGCUAAUCUCAUAAAACCCGUUCUCAGUUCGGA